rnacentral:rRNA from 1 species
AGUUGUUGCUGGUUCUCCAGGGAGCAUGUGCACACUCGUCAUCUUUAUAUCUCCACCUGUGAACCUUUUGUAGACCUGAAUAUCUCUUUCUGAAUGCCUGCAAAAUUCAGGUUUGAGGAUUGAUUUGUUUCUUUCCUUGCGUUUUCAGGCCUAUGUUUUUUUCAUAUACCCCAUGUAUGUUUAUAGAAUGUAAUAAACGGGCCUUUGUGCCUAUAAACUUAUACAACUUUCAGCAACGGAUCUCUUGGCUCUCGCAUCGAUGAAGAACGCAGCGAAAUGCGAUAAGUAAUGUGAAUUGCAGAAUUCAGUGAAUCAUCGAAUCUUUGAACGCAUCUUGCGCUCCUUGGUAUUCCGAGGAGCAUGCCUGUUUGAGUGUCAUUAAUAUAUCAAUCCUCUUCAGCCUUUUUGCCUGUUGAGUGUUGGACGUGGGGGUUAUUUUUGCUGGACUCUCUCCUUGAGGUCAGCUCCCCUAAAAUAUAUUAGCAAAACGAUUUGUUUACUGCUCAUUGGUGUGAUAACUAUCUACGCUAUUGACGGUAAAGCACAGUUUAGCCUCUAGCAGUCCAUUGACUUGGACAAUCUUUAUCAAUAUGACCUCAAAUCAGGUAGG